rnacentral:lncRNA from 1 species
UCAGCUUAGACCAUGCCCAGCACCACCUAUUGUCGAGCCUCAGAUCUAGCAAGAUGAAGAGGUUCCUAUUCCGAUCGUGCUAGUUAUACCUACUCUGGUCCUGGAGUGGUUCAUUGCUAUCCUCGUGCUUCAGGACACCUUAAUCCGCUUGGUUGGUAUUAUGGAGUGUGGCCCAGGAAAGUGUGUUCCCUAUGGCACCACAUGUAUUUUAGGCCGAGGGAGGAGCCCAAACUCCGACUACCCACACUCUUGAGCAGAUAGCUUAUGGGUACCAACCCCUAACAGUUCUACCAGUUUUCGUGCCCUCUUUUACUCGUGAAAUCGGGUUUAUGACAUUCAGGAAGAUAACUUGUUUCCAUUUAGGAAUUGGGUUUUUUGGAAUUGAAGAGUCGCCACCUAAUGAUUUAAGUGUAUUAGGACACUAAGGAGGGUUCAAUUUGGAUAGCCAGAGAUUGAGUAAGGGCUUGAAAUUAUCCCAAUGGGAAGGUGUUAGGCACCCCUCAGGAUCCACUAGUGUGGUUCCCAGCCAAGCUAUUAUUAUAACUUAAAUGCAAAUAACACAUAGGCAAG